rnacentral:lncRNA from 1 species
GCAUCCAAACGUGUCAGAGAUAUGGAUUACGUUCUGACGCUUCUCAGGAGCGAAGUGUCACAGCUGAAGUAGCGCGAGCCGAGUACUUGCUCGUAGAAGUGACUAUUCUGACACUUCCUCAUCAGCGAAGCGUCAGAGAUGGAGUUUUCCCUCACUUCUAUUAACUGUACAAGCGUCAGAGAGAUUUCUCAGCUGACCGUUUGUGCGAUUUCAAAAAAAUUGCACCCACUGACGCUUUUUCUUCACGUAGUCAGCAUCCAGUUUUGC